rnacentral:rRNA from 1 species
UACGUAGGGUGCGAGCGUUGUCCGGAAUUAUUGGGCGUAAAGAGCUCGUAGGCGGUUUGUCGCGUCUGCCGUGAAAGUCCGGGGCUCAACUCCGGAUCUGCGGUGGGUACGGGCAGACUAGAGUGAUGUAGGGGAGACUGGAAUUCCUGGUGUAGCGGUGAAAUGCGCAGAUAUCAGGAGGAACACCGGUGGCGAAGGCGGGUCUCUGGGCCGAAACUGACGCUGAGGAGCGAAAGCGUGGGGAGCAAACAGG